GACGAACGCUGGCGGCGUGCUUAACACAUGCAAGUCGAACGGAAAGGCCCUGCUUUUGUGGGGUGCUCGAGUGGCGAACGGGUGAGUAACACGUGAGUAACCUGCCCUUGACUUUGGGAUAACUUCAGGAAACUGGGGCUAAUACCGGAUAGGAGCUCCUGCUGCAUGGUGGGGGUUGGAAAGUUUCGGCGGUUGGGGAUGGACUCGCGGCUUAUCAGCUUGUUGGUGGGGUAGUGGCUUACCAAGGCUUUGACGGGUAGCCGGCCUGAGAGGGUGACCGGCCACAUUGGGACUGAGAUACGGCCCAGACUCCUACGGGAGGCAGCAGUGGGGAAUCUUGCACAGUGGGCGGAAGCCUGAUGCAGCAACGCCGCGUGCGGGAUGACGGCCUUCGGGUUGUAAACCGCUUUCGCCUGUGACGAAGCGUGAGUGACGGUAAUGGGUAAAGAAGCACCGGCUAACUACGUG
rnacentral:rRNA from 1 species